AGCAGCCGCGGUAAUUCCAGCUCCAAUAGCGUAUAUUAAAGUUGUUGCAGUUAAAAAGCUCGUAGUUGAAUUUCGGAAUCAAUGGAUCGGUCAUGCCACUCGGUGUGUACUGGUUUGAUUGGUUCUCACCUUCUAAGGAACCGUGAUGUCAUUAAUUUGGUGUCGCGGGGAAUUAGGACUGUUACCUUAGAAAAAAUUAGAGUGUUUAAAGCAAGCUCACGCUUGAAUACAUUAGCAUGGAAUAAUGAAAUAGGACAUUGUAUUCUAUUUUGUUGGUUUCUAGGAUCGAUGUAAUGAUUAAUAGGGAUAGUUGGGGGCAUUAGUAUUCAAUUGUCAGAGGUGAAAUUCUUGGAUUUAUUGAAGACUAACUACUGCGAAAGCAUUUGCCAAGGAUGUUUUCAUUAAUCAAGAACGAAAGUUAGGGGAUCGAAGACGAUCAGAUACCGUCGUAGUCUUAACCAUAAACUAUGCCGACUAGGGAUCGGAUGAUGUUAAUUUUUAAUGA
rnacentral:rRNA from 1 species